AGGGGCGUAGCUCAGCCCGGCCAGAGCAGCGGACUCCAAACCCGCGCGCCGCAGGUUCGAAUCCUGCCGCCCCUGCCG
rnacentral:tRNA from 1 species